GACGAACGCUGGCGGCGUGCUUAACACAUGCAAGUCGAACGGAAAGGCCCUGCUUUUGUGGGGUGCUCGAGUGGCGAACGGGUGAGUAACACGUGAGUAACCUGCCCUUGACUUUGGGAUAACUUCAGGAAACUGGGGCUAAUACCGGAUAGGAGCUCCUGCUGUAUGGUGGGGGUUGGAAAGUUUCUGGGGUUGGGGAUGGACUCGCGGCUUAUCAGCUUGUGGGUGGGGUAGUGGAUAACCAAGGCUUUGACGGGUAGCCGGCCUGAGAGGGUGACCGGCCAAAUUGGGACUGGGAGGCAGCCGAGGGGACUAUGGGGCGAAGGAGGGGAGACUAUUGGAGAAAGGGCGGGAGAGUGAUGCAGGAACGCGGAGUGCGAAAUGACGGCCUUCGGGUUGUAAGCGCGUUUCGCUUGUGACGUAGCGUGGGUGCGGGUACUGGGUAGAGAGGCACGGGUUACCUACGG
rnacentral:rRNA from 1 species